GACGUAGGGCGCGAGCGUUGUCCGGAUUUAUUGGGCGUAAAGAGCUCGUAGGCGGCUUGUCGCGUCGUCUGUGAAAACCCGCGGCUCAACGGCGGGCUUGCAGUCGAUACGGGCAGGCUGGAGUUCGGUAGGGGAGACUGGAAUUCUCGGUGUAGCAGUGAAUGCGUAGAUCUCGAGAGGAACACCAGUGGCGAAGGCGGGUCUCUGGACAACACCUGACGCUGAGGCACGAAAGCCAGGGGAGCAAACGGG
rnacentral:rRNA from 1 species